GGCCAACGUCCAGCUUCCACUGCCUCUUGGAAUGUAGUAGGGCGCCCGAGAGGGCUCUUUCUGCUUCAUGGGGAGAUUGGGGACCAGAAACAGGGACUGGGAAGCUGCUGGAGACCCACACUCAGUCGAGUUGAAUUUCUCGGUGUCUCUCCUGCACAUAAAAUCUCUGGGAGGGAUCCAGAGGCGCAGACGCCCCCCGCCUCCCAUUCCGCGCGCGCGCAGCCAAGCGCGCGCGCACACACUCCUCGCUGUUCUCAAUUUCCAGCUGCUGUUCUCUUCUGCCAGAAAAGCCUCGCUUUUCCGGUCUCGAAGCAGUCCUUCCACAAGGGAAGCAAAAAUACAGCUCUGCUGACCAUAUGGCUCCUCUCCUGGGAUCCCGCUGCCCAAGGUGCUGUUCUUCCUUGAGGCAAACAAAUCUCAGAUUUCACUGCAGUCUCACCAGAAGAGUCUGUGACCUGGAUGGGGCUAGAGGCCUGGCCCGAGGAGCCAAUUCUUCUUUCAGAGGGCUUCGUUUACCAGGUCUACAAGGAUGGGCCAGGCUUUGGGGCUGUUAGGAUGAAGCUGAUGAUUAAAGUCCCUGGAAAUAUCAGUUUGCUUCUAAAGAAGAGUUCAAGAUUGACAAAGACUAUGGAUGUGUUCUGAAACAUGGAAGCACCAGGAAGCCCAGGCUCGAAGAAUGAAACUAACUUUUCUCACAGUAUUUAAAGCCUGGGUUUAUCUUCUAUUUUCUAAACAAUGCAACAGGCACACAAUAAAUUUUCUUUCCCCAAA